CUCUCUUCGGCAAUUUCAUUGGCGGUCUUUCAUAAAAAUCGCACAAAGGGACUUCUAAUCUAUUUACUUAGCUUUUUCGCACGUUUGCUGACUGCACUGCAAGUCUAUAUCUUUCACCAGUGUCCAUUAUCUUCUAUCACACAACGCUAAAGAUCCGAAAUAAAACAUCUCACAAUUCCAACCAGACGAAUCGCUGUCCGCCGAAAAAGGGAAGCUCAGAAAUCCCACGGUGUGUUUUAGACCAGAAAAUCCGAGAUCCACCUAUCGGUACUUGAAAUUGCAGCGGCACAAUUUUUCUUACACAUCCAGCGAUGUUCCAUCCAUAAAAUGUACACUUAAAAGCUUCACCAGCAGCACUUGCACGAUCACUGAGUUCACUUCAGACCACUCGAAACGGAGACGAAAGUCGGUAUAUACACGAGCAAAAGUUGUAGCAGCUUAGGGCGGCUGUACGCAUAUCGGGAAGUCGAGAAAUUCUUGGGCCGAAGAUCGGCUCGUAUAGUUUGGAGCGUGGCUUGGUUAAAGCAGGCGGCAGGUCGACGCAAAUCGGAUGAGAAACGGGCUUGGCGGCUGCGGGGAGGAGUACGAAGCCUGCUUGAGUGAACGUGUCGCGGACAGUGGGAAAUGGUAGGGGCACCACGGACCUACGCUAGAGGACCCGGAGAAUAGUAGGGAGCGCACAGCAUGCGCGUGCCUGCGCACCGGUUUUCGGCUUCACUAGUGAUGGGCCCGAUCUCGAGGCAUCAACGUGUAUCCAGUAUUUGGAUUUAUCGUUUUAAUAGUAAACAUAGAUCAUGGAUUUUUACAUGAAUUCAUAUUUUUUUUUUAAAUAUAAUUUAAAACGUAGGACCCCGGUAGAAAAUUCUUUCACCUACCAACUAUUAUAGAAAGCAUUGUGCUUUGAAUGUUCUAUGUGCUUUUUCAUUUUAGUGUAUUUCUAAGAAAGACAGGUGUAUCUGUAAAAGAAAACGUGAAGUUUCGUUCCCACCCUAACCUUAAUUCAAAUUCUUCGGACUAAAGAUUUUUAAGUACAAACGAUACAUAAUGUUUUAAUACUUUGUAUCAUACACGAUCUUUCAGUAGCGAACUGUUAACAAACACCAAAGUUACUAGAAACAUCGUAAACUAAGCGUUCGUAUAUUCAUGUAUAUUCAUUAUUGUUGAUUAUUUCACCAUAUGUUCGAAUGGUAUCGUUAUGUUUGUAGAAAGUUGUAAUGAAAGACGUCAACAUAGUAUGAUAUUUACCUCUUAAGUGGUAGCGAAUGUACGUACGCAUAAUACUCAUACGUACACAUAAUAUAUAUAUACACGCUGCAGAGCCAAUAUACGUGUAUCAAGUUUAAGGAUUCAAUUUAAACAUUUAUGUCCACGUUCUAUAUCUCCGCAUAUCAUAUGUUAUUGUGUCACACACAAUUACUUACGAACAAUGUUUAUACUAGUUCAAUGAAUUAGAAGAAAGGUGACCUUAGUUAUUUGUCGAUUUUAAAAUAUCAACGGCUGAGACACUGUGCAGAACAAGAAAAGAUUUAAAAAGAUAAUUGAAUUAAAAUAUGAAAUACUGUCACAUUCUAGCUGUUUUUAAUGAUAGUUUAGUUUCCAUCGAUGCAAUAUAAGAUAACGAAUCUAUAAGAUAAAGAAAAUUGUAACAUCCUAGACGAUAUAGUAUUUUAGAUUAUUUUCACAAAGUCUUCGAUUAUUUCGAAAUUGUUCACUUUGUUUGUUAUGAAUAAAUAUAAUAACAAUUACCUUAACAAAUAUCGUAGUGAUACGACUGAUUUUUACUUGGUUUGGAACACCCGUUAUGUGAAAGUCACAUCUGGACUUGAAGCACGUGCGCGUAUACGACGAUGAAGGCACGUAUUAUAAGCAGACCAGUACGAGAUGCUGAAAGUAGCCAAAUUGGCGUAUCAACAAAACAAGCAGUAUCGUCCAAUCUAAUUCUACUACCUGCGAAUCCAGAAGAAAGCUAGGACGGGGGACACAAAAGAGUGAUACCUGAGCCAGAAAGACACAUUCCAGCUGCUUGUGAGGUGUGUCAUAUUCCAGCUAAACUGGCGCUUUUCCUUACGUAUGUUCUUAGCGAUGGCUUUAAGCCUCCAGUCAAUUGGGAUAAUAUUUUUGUAAUGGGAAUCUCGCUUUUAAUUACUGUUGUAAUCAGAACAUAUUAUAAAUAAUAUUUAUAAAUA